rnacentral:rRNA from 1 species
GGAAUAUUGGACAAUGGGCGCAAGCCUGGUCCAGCCAUGCCGCGUGUGUGAAGAAGGCCUUCGGGUUGUAAAGCACUUUUGUUGGGGAAGAAAGCGUACGGAUUAAUACUUCGUGCGGAUGACGGUACCCAAAGAAUAAGCACCGGCUAACUUCGUGCCAGCAGCCGCGGUAAUACGAAGGGUGCAAGCGUUACUCGGAAUUACUGGGCGGAAAGCGUGCGCAGGCGGUUCGUUAAGUCUGCUGUGAAAGCCCUGGGCUCAACCUGGGAAUGGCAGUGGAUACUGGCGAGCUAGAGUACGGUAGAGGAAGGUGGAAUUCCCGGUGUAGCGGUGAAAUGCGUAGAGAUCGGGAGGAACACCAGUGGCGAAGGCGACCUUCUGGACCAGUACUGACGCUCAUGCACGAAAGCGUGGGGAGCAA